rnacentral:rRNA from 1 species
AGUGAACGCUGGCGGUAGGCCUAACACAUGCAAGUCGAACGGCAGCACAGUAAGAGCUUGCUCUUACGGGUGGCGAGUGGCGGACGGGUGAGGAAUACAUCGGAAUCUACUUUUUCGUGGGGGAUAACGUAGGGAAACUUACGCUAAUACCGCAUACGACCUACGGGUGAAAGCAGGGGAUCUUCGGACCUUGCGCGAUUGAAUGAGCCGAUGUCGGAUUAGCUAGUUGGCGGGGUAAAGGCCCACCAAGGCGACGAUCCGUAGCUGGUCUGAGAGGAUGAUCAGCCACACUGGAAGUGAGACACGGUCCAGACUCCUACGGGAGGCAGCAGUGGGGAAUAUUGGACAAUGGGCGCAAGCUUGAUCCAGCCAUACCGCGUGGGUGAAGAAGGCCUUCGGGUUGUAAAGCCCUUUUGUUGGGAAAGAAAAGCAGCAGGUUAAUACCCCGCUGUUCUGACGGUACCCAAAGAAUAAGCACCGGCUAACUUCGUG